rnacentral:rRNA from 1 species
UACCAGCUCUUCGAGUGGUGUGGAUGUUUAUUGGGCCUAAAGCAUCCGUAGCUGGCUGGGCAAGUCCCCUGUUAAAUCCACCGAUUUAAUCGUUGGAGUGCGGGGGAUACUGUUCGGCUAGGGGACGGGAGAGGCAGACGGUAUUUUCGGGGUAGGGGUGAAAUCCUAUAAUCCCGGGAAGACCACCAGUGGCGAAGGCUGUCUGCUAGAACGCGCCCGACGGUGAGGGAUGAAAGCUGGGGGAGCGAACCGGAUUAGAUACCCGGGUAGUCCCAGCUGUAAACGAUGCAGGCUAGGUGUUUGGGCGGCCACGUGCCGCUCUAGUGCCGCAGGGAAGCCGUUAAGCCUGCCGCCUGGGGAGUACGGCCGCAAGGCUGAAACUUAAGGGAAUUGGCGGGGGAGCACCACAAGGGGUGAAGCUUGCGGUUU